AUGGCCAAAUCACGCUGAAACACUAGUCCUCGUCUGACCAUCAAAAUUAAGCAGCAUCGAGCCUAGUGAGUACCUAGGUAAGUGACUGCUUGGGAAUAUCAGGUGUUGUAC